AUAAUGGGUCAGCGACUUAUAUUCUGUAGCAAGGUUAACCGAAUAGGGGAGCCGAAGGGAAACCGAGUCUUAACUGGGCGUUAAGUUGCAGGGUAUAGACCCGAAACCCGGUGAUCUAGCCAUGGGCAGGUUGAAGGUUGGGUAACACUAACUGGAGGACCGAACCGACUAAUGUUGAAAAAUUAGCGGAUGACUUGUGGCUGGGGGUGAAAGGCCAAUCAAACCGGGAGAUAGCUGGUUCUCCCCGAAAGCUAUUUAGGUAGCGCCUCGUGAAUUCAUCUCCGGGGGUAGAGCACUGUUUCGGCAAGGGGGUCAUCCCGACUUACCAACCCGAUGCAAACUGCGAAUACCGGAGAAUGUUAUCACGGGAGACACACGGCGGGUGCUAACGUCCGUCGUGAAGAGGGAAACAACCCAGACCGCCAGCUAAGGUCCCAAAGUCAUGGUUAAGUGGGAAACGAUGUGGGAAGGCCCAGACAGCCAGGAUGUUGGCUUAGAAGCAGCCAUCAUUUAAAGAAAGCGUAAUAGCUCACUGGUCGAGUCGGCCUGCGCGGAAGAUGUAACGGGGCUAAACCAUGCACCGAAGCUGCGGCAGCGACACUAUGUGUUGUUGGGUAGGGGAGCGUUCUGUAAGCCUGUGA
rnacentral:rRNA from 1 species